AAUUUGCUGAGGUGGAAGGGACUUGCUUUGUCUCAGAUAAAACUUUGCACUUGGACUUUUGGGUCAAUGCUGGAGUGAGUUAAGACUUUAGAGGACUGCUGGGAA